GAUCUGAUCGGGAACAUAAUUCGGUUGCCGCUGGUUUUUCAGGGCGUACCAUGGGUUGUCCUGCCGAAGAUCGGCAGGGAUGCGAGGGGCUGAACGGUUUCGACUUCGCGCAUCGAAUCAAGGGAAGCGUGCCGGUGCAGGCAAGAGACCACCGUAAGCGUCGAUGCAACUAGAUAAGCGCCGAUUCACAUCAGCGCGACUACGCUCUCGCUGCCUAAGCGACGGCUAGUCUGUCGGACCGGGAACGCCCUCGCCCCGGACCCCGGCAUCAGCUAGAGGGAUCAACCGAUGAGUUCGGUCGCGGGGCUCAUCGGGACAUCAACAGCGACUGGGAUCGUCAUCCUGGCUAGUUCGCGUGACCAGGAGAUCCGAGCAGAGACAUAGCGGACUGCGCACGGAGAAGCCUUGAGGGAAUGCCGUAGGACCCGGGUUCGAUUCCCGGCAGCUCCAC
rnacentral:tmRNA from 1 species